rnacentral:rRNA from 1 species
AGAUUGAACGCUGGCGGCGUGCCUAACACAUGCAAGUCGAGCGGUAACAGGUGUAGCAAUACAUGCUGACGAGCGGCGAACGGGUGAGUAAUGCUUUGGAAUCUUCCCAGUAGUGGGGAAUAACCAGUCGAAAGAUUGGCUAAUACCGCAUACGUCUGUAAAGGGAAAGCGGGGGCUCGUAAGACCUCGCGCUAUUGGAUGAGCCAAAGUCGGAUUAGCUAGUUGGUGGGGUAACGGCCUACCAAGGCGACAAUCCGUAGCUGGUCUGAGAGGACGACCAGCCACACCGGAACUGAGACACGGUCCGGACUCCUACGGGAGGCAGCAGUGGGGAAUAUUGGACAAUGGGGGAAACCCUGAUCCAGCGACGCCGCGUGUGUGAAGAAGGCCUGCGGGUUGUAAAGCACUUUUAGUGGGGACAAAAGCUACGGAUUAAUACUCUGUGGUCUUGAUUUAACCAAAGAAAAGCACCGGCUAACUCUGUGCCAGCAGCCGCGGU